UACGGAGGGUGCAAACGUUGCUCGGAAUCAUUGGGCGUAAAGCGCACGUAGGCGGACCGCUAAGUCGGAUGUGAAAGCCCUCGGCUUAACCGAGGAAGUGCAUUCGAAACUGACGGUCUUGAGUAUGGAAGAGGGUCGCGGAAUUCCCGGUGUAGAGGUGAAAUUCGUAGAUAUCUGAAGGAACAUCAGUGGCGAAAGCGACUUCCUGGACCAAUACUGACGCUCAUGUGCGAAAGCGUGGGGAGCAAACAGG
rnacentral:rRNA from 1 species